AGAUCACCUUCACCACUCAGGAAGUCACGAGAAAUUGCCAGCAGAAUGUCUUUACUUGACUUGAAUUCUGCAUCCUUACAAAAGAGGCAAGGGUCAUGGCCAAUCAAUCUGGACUGUUUAGCACGAUCCAGAAAGCAAACUAACAAUAGCAAUUUUUUCAGUGUAAAUUUUGACAAGGCUUCUUCGUGACCUUCUCGGUAAAGGUGAGGCACAGUGGGAUGUCUAUAUUCAGCUGCAAUGUCGGGGUUCCAAAGCAAGCGAUUAAGAAUAAAUACUGCCAAACCUAUAAAAUCACUAUUGCUUUCCAAAGUUAUCAGUUCCCCAUAAACAGUCUAAUAUGAAGAAGAAAAAAAAAAAAAAACGUUAAAAAUGACCUGAAGCACUAUAUGCUCUUGCGAAUAUCAUACGCUACAGAAAUAAUACUGAAAUUCUGUAAUAGCAAGUGGUAGUUAGCCUCUAAAAAUCAUUUUUUAUAACAGUGACUAAAAGAUAAAACCAAAGGAAAUUUCAGAAUAUUCUGUCUUAUGUAAAAACAUGUUUGAUAAUUCGCAUUUGAUGAAAUCAAUCAGGAGCUCCCUGGAGAAAGAUGCAUCUUCCUAUAGCUCAGUGAGGAGUGAAACUAACUGCAACCUGCUCUUCUGUAAUUAGUCCAACUUUCCUUGAUUAAAUAUUUUUCUUUUUAAUAAAGUAAACAACUUUUAAUGCAAAUCAGUUAUAAUAAAGCAAAAGUAAACAUGCUAUAACUUAAUCAAACCUACUUGGACUAAUAAAACAAAAAAUAUAAGAGAAACCCAAAACAUUCUCUACUAGAAAUCUUGCCAGAUUUUCUCAAUAUGUU
rnacentral:lncRNA from 1 species